rnacentral:tRNA from 1 species
UCCUCGCAGAGCUUGUCAAUCCUAAGCAUCUCUUUUACACAGAGAAGAAGUUUGUGAAAUUCGAACUGCCUGGA